rnacentral:lncRNA from 1 species
UUGAAAUUAGAGAAUGGAAUAAAAGAGAGAACAUUUUCUUGAAGUAAGGAGGAGUUUUUUUGGACUGGCUUUUAAUUUGGAGAGUCAGAAUUUGAGAGUUAAUUGAUUGGUCUUUGAUCUAAAAAAGUUCAGUAAGUUUGAGAGUUAAAAGCUGAAAAGUGAGGUCUCUUUGUGAGUGAAAAUCAGUGCUAGUUUGCUUAUUCCAUCGAAGCUUCAAGCUUCUUCUUCUUUGAGUGUUUGAAAACCAGAAAACUACUGGUCUUUUGUUUCUGGUUCCCUUCUAUUUCUGCUUGGGUUGCUAUUGGAUUGGUUGUUACUAUUUCAUUGGGUGCUAUUGGAUUUUCCUCCAAAUCUGUCCCUGGGUUCUGCUACUAGUUGUUGGUUAUUGCUGGUCAUUAGAGUUGUUGCUCGUUGUUUUCUACUGUUGUCCUGCUGAUCUUCCUCUUCUUUUGCUUCCUAUACCAGGUACACAACUGACACACAUUGUAAGCUGAAAUGUGGAAGUUGAAUUUUUAAUUUAACUUCUUCUUUUCUUUUCACUGAUUUUAUUUAAGUUCUUCUUAUAUACUAUCGCUAUGUGGAUUUCUGCCAUGAGAAAUGCAUAACUGAAUAGUCCUUUUUAUAGAAGUUUAGUUGUGAACUUCCCAUGUAUGAUCUUAAAUAAAAAGGAUUGAUGGUGUAG